GACGAAGGGGGCUAGCGUUGUUCGGAAUUACUGGGCGUAAAGCGAGUGUAGGUGGUUGUCCAAGUUGGAUGUGAAAGCCUUGAGCUCAACUCAAGAAAUGCAUUCAGGACUGGGCGACUAGAGGACCGGAGAGGAUAGUGGAAUUCCCAGUGUAGUGGUGAAAUACGUAGAGAUUGGGAAGAACACCAGUGGCGAAGGCGGCUAUCUGGACGGUUUCUGACACUAAGACUCGAAAGCGUGGGGAGCAAACAGG
rnacentral:rRNA from 1 species